rnacentral:tRNA from 1 species
GCCCGAAUGGUGGAAUGGUAGACACGAAGGAUUCAAAACCCUUUAGCUUUGCUGUGUGGGUUCAAGUCCCACUUCGGGCACCA